GUACUGCUAUAACCAGAAUUUGGUAGAAAAAGGAUCUACUCAUUGGGGCCCUCUUGAUAAAAAGAGAUGUGGGGGGAUUCUCGACCUGCAAACAGAACUGGACCUUUUCGUGGGAGCCAAGAAGAAAGGUUUGCUCCCGGGUGGAACAGGGAUUAUCCUCCUCCUCCCCUUAAGAGUCAUGCUCAAGAGAGACACUCUGGCAACUUUCCUGGCAGAGAUUCACUUCCCUUUGAUUUCCAGGGGCAUUCGGGGCCUCCUUUUGCAAAUGUAGAGGAGCAUUCUUUCAGCUAUGGAGCUAGAGACGGACCGCAUGGUGACUAUCGAGGAGGGGAGGGACCUGGACAUGAUUUCAGGGGGGGAGAUUUUUCGUCUUCUGAUUUCCAGAGCAGAGAUUCAUCACAGUUGGACUUCAGGGGUAGGGACAUACAUUCUGGGGAUUUUCGGGAUAGAGAAGGACCACCUAUGGACUAUAGGGGUGGAGAUGGUACUUCUAUGGAUUAUAGAGGUAGGGAGGCACCUCAUAUGAACUACAGAGACAGGGAUGCUCACGCUGUUGACUUCAGAGGUAGGGAUGCUCCUCCAUCUGACUUCAGGGGCCGGGGCACUUAUGAUUUAGAUUUUAGAGGCCGAGAUGGAUCCCAUGCAGAUUUUAGGGGAAGGGAUUUAUCAGAUUUGGAUUUUAGGGCCAGAGAACAGUCCCGUUCUGAUUUUAGGAAUAGAGAUGUAUCUGAUUUGGACUUCAGAGACAAAGACGGAACACAAGUAGACUUUAGAGGCCGAGGUUCAGGUACUACUGAUCUAGACUUUAGGGACAGGGAUACGCCACAUUCAGAUUUCAGAGGUAGACACCGGUCUAGGACUGAUCAGGAUUUUAGGGGCAGAGAGAUGGGAACUUGUAUGGAAUUUAAAGAUAGGGAGAUGCCCCCUGUGGAUCCAAAUAUUUUGGAUUACAUUCAGCCCUCUACACAAGAUAGAGAACAUUCUGGUAUGAAUGUGAACAGGAGAGAAGAAUCCACACAUGACCAUACGAUAGAAAGGCCUGCUUUCGGCAUUCAGAAGGGAGAAUUUGAGCAUUCAGAAACAAGAGAAGGAGAAACACAAGGUGUAGCCUUUGAACAUGAGUCUUCAGCAGACUUUCGGAACAGCCAGAGUCCAGUUCAAGACCAAGAUAAGUCACAGCUUUCUGGAGGUGAACAGCAGAGUUCAGAUGCUGGUCUGUUUAAAGAAGAAGGCGGUCUGGACUUUCUUGGGCGGCAAGACACUGAUUACAGAAGCAUGGAGUACCGUGAUGUGGAUCAUAGGCUGCCAGGAAGCCAGAUGUUUGGCUAUGGCCAGAGCAAGUCUUUUCCAGAGGGCAAAACUGCCCGAGAUGCCCAACGGGACCUUCAGGAUCAAGAUUAUAGGACUGGCCCAAGUGAGGAGAAACCCAGCAGGCUUAUUCGAUUAAGUGGGGUGCCCGAAAAUGCCACAAAAGAAGAGAUUCUUAAUGCUUUUCGGACUCCUGAUGGCAUGCCUGUAAAGAACUUGCAGUUGAAGGAGUAUAACACAGGUUACGACUAUGGCUAUGUCUGCGUGGAGUUUUCACUCUUGGAAGAUGCCAUCGGAUGCAUGGAGGCCAACCAGGGAACUCUAAUGAUCCAGGACAAAGAAGUUACCCUCGAGUAUGUACCAAGCCUGGAUUUUUGGUACUGCAAACGAUGUAAGGCAAGCAUUGGUGGGCACCGAUCUUCCUGUUCAUUCUGCAAGAACCCAAGGGAAGGUGAGUGGCAAAAGUAGUAGCAGUUUUUAUCUUGUUCAUUGAGCAAAACAAAUUUCAUGUUUUCCUUGGCUUUGAAGAAUUAUCAUCCCUAAAUCCAAGUUGAUCUACAAACCUUUCUUUUUUUUUUUUUUUUUGAUAUGGAGUGUCGCUCUGUUGCCCAGGCUGGAGUGCAGUGGUGCAAUCUUGGCUCACUGCAACGUCCGCCUCCUGGGUUCAAGCAAUUCCCCUGCCUCAGCUUCCUGAGUAGCUGGGAUUACAGGCACGUGCCACCACGCCCUGUAGCCCAGCUAAAUUUUUUGUAUUUUUAGUAGAGAUGGGGUUUCACCGUGUUGGUCAGGCUGGCCUCGAACUCCUGACCUUGUGACCCAACCACCUUGGCCUCCCAAAGGUGCUGGGAAUACAGGUGUGAGUCACGGUGCAUGGCCUGCAAACCUUUUUUUUUUUUUUUUUUUUUUUGAGACAGAGUCUCACUGUGGCCCAGGCUGGAGUGCAGUGACACCAUCUCGGCUCACUGCAAGCUUCACCUCCCAGGUUCAAGUGAUUCUUGUGCCCCAGCCUCCCAAGUGGCUGGGAUUCCAAGCAUGUGUCACCACACCUGUGGCUAAUUUUUGUAAUUUUAGUAGAGACGAGGUUUCGGCAUGUUGGUCAGGCUGGUCCUGAGCUCCUGACUUCAGGUGAUCCACCUGCCUUGGCCUCCCAAAGUGCUGGGAUUACAGGCAUGAGCCACCAUGCCCAGCCUUUUAAAAGUUUUGGGCCGGGCGCGGUGGCUCACACCUGUAAUCCCAGCACUUUAGGAGGCCGAGGCAAACAUGCUGAAACCCCGUCUCUACUAAAAUUACAAAAAUUGGCCACAGGUGUGGUGGCACAUGCUUGGAAUCCCAGCCACUUGGGAGGCUGAGGCACGAGAAUCACUUGAACCCAGGAGUCAGAGGUUGCAGUGAGCUGAGAUCUCGCCACUGCACUCCAGCCUAGGCAACAGAGUGAGAAAAAAAAAAUUGCAGUUUGAUGCCCAACUUAACGUGACCUGUUAGUAAAUGAUUUCAGAUCUUAUUUUCACUAGAGGAAAGAGAUAAGGUCAUGGGCUCCUAGUCUAAAGUGGCUAAGUGGGCAGCUGAGCAGAGGUCAGUAUAUUGUUAUUUGGAAUACGUAUAAGGAUUAAGGAUGUUAGGUUGAAAAAGAGUAUGACGUCAGUCUAUAUGGCAAACCUUUUCCCACUCUCACUUCUUUGAAGUUACUGGGAAUCAUUUGCUCUAUUGUUUUCUCUUUUACACUCUGUAAGCAUUUCAGGAUUUUCAAGAGAAAAACAUUUGUUAAAAUAACAGUAAAAAUAUAAAUAAGAGAAAAUAAUCAGGAUGUGGGGAACAUUUUAUUAUUUUGAGGAAUAAAACUACCAGCUUCUCAAGCACUUAUCUUUAAUAUAAAUUUCUUUAGAGAAAUUUUAGGUAGGCAACUUCGAAGAGUCAGACACAUGGAUCUGUAACAACAGUCCUGUAGUCAUCCCUUAAGGAAAGCCACAGAAUGACCAUAAAAUAUAGUUCAGUGCAGGGAUUCAGGUAGCCUUCUAUUUGUUCCAAGGUUAGAAUUUAAUGUGCCUACAAGGAGUUUCUUCCGUGGGCUUUUGGCCUCUUGUGGAGAUUUUAAUCUGGUGAAGACUGAAAGGCAUGUGUUCUGAAAAUCUUUAGGGGAAUGCUCUGUAUGUUCUAGAGACCAAACCAAAAUGUGGGAAGGGGGAUGAACAACUGAGAUUUUUGCUUGUUGGGUCACUUCAGGAUAGGCAAAGUUGUGUUUUUUACCCCCCACAAGAAAGAUUUUUUUUCAUAGCUAUUCUAACAAAUGAAUAGUUUAUGAAAACCUUUGGGCACCAUACCACUAAGAUGAGACAGCUUUAUCUGGAAACCUGUCAUGCUAUUAUGUAAUCUCUAUAUUGCUCUCAUAUAAUACCUCAUUUUGAGCCACAUGGCUUCCAGUGAACCAUCCAAGAAUGAAUGAAUUACAAAAAUGUGCCCCUAAUUAUAAAACAAACUAUAAAGACAAAUUAUCCUGCUGUAGUAGGACAUUUGAAAUAAGUCAUUUAUAUUUUGAAGGACAUCUGCCCAUUAUGCUUAUUUGCAUGUAAAUGAGCUAAGUGCAAAUAAGGUCUGUUCCUAGCUUCACUGGAGAAGGGCCUGUGGUCUUACAGGAUUUGAGUUGUUGUUUGAGCACUGUAACACUGGAAGAAGCAAGGCUUCUAGAAGUGUGUUUGGGAUAUGUGUUUCUACUAAACCUUAAGUAAGGGCCAUAUCUUUGGUAAUUUUGUCCCCAGAUCUGUUGUUAUCAUUGAUUAUAAUAGUCAGGUUCAAGGUGUCAUGAAGGAUUUGUUAUAUUUAAAUGUUGGGUAAGUGAUACAGAGAUUUCGUAAGAUUACAUUUUUUAAAUGCUUGGAUAGUUUCUUCUGUGAACUAUUUCAUAUCCUAUCUUAGCUUCACUUAAAAUAUUUUGUCAGGUGGCCGGGCGCGGUGGCUCAAGCCUGUAAUCCCAGCACUUUGGGAGGCCGAGACGG
rnacentral:lncRNA from 10 species